CCUACGGGUGGCAGCAGUGAGGAAUAUUGGUCAAUGGACGCGAGCCUGAACCAGCCAAGUAGCGUGAAGGAUGACUGCCCUACGGGUUGUAAACUUCUUUUGUAAAGGAAUAAAGUGAGGCACGUGUGUCUUUCUGUAUGUACUUUAUGAAUAAGGAUCGGCUAACUCCGUGCCAGCAGCCGCGGUAAUACGGAGGAUCCGAGCGUUAUCCGGAUUUAUUGGGUUUAAAGGGAGCGUAGAUGGGUUGUUAAGUCAGAUGUGAAAGUCUGCGGCUCAACCGUAGAAUUGCAAUUGAUACUGGCAGUCUCGAGUACAGUUGAGGUAGGCGGAAUUCGUGGUGUAGCGGUGAAAUGCUUAGAUAUCACGAAGAACUCCGAUUGCGAAGGCAGCUUACUAAACUACCACUGACGUUGAGGCUCGAAAGUGUGGGUAUCAAACAGGAUUAGAUACCCGUGUAGUC
rnacentral:rRNA from 1 species